UACAGAGGGUGCGAGCGUUGUCCGGAAUUACUGGGCGUAAAGGGCGCGUAGGCGGCUUGGUAAGUCUUCUGUGAAAUCUGCGGGCUCAGCCUGCAAAGUGCAGAGGAAACUGGCGAGCUUGAGUGUCGGAGAGGAUAGGGGAAUACCCAGUGUAGAGGUGAAAUUCGUAGAGAUUGGGUGGAACACCAGUGGCGAAGGCGCCUAUCUGGCUGACAACUGACGCUGAGACUCGAAAGCAUGGGGAGCAAACAGG
rnacentral:rRNA from 1 species